GACGAACGCUGGCGGCGUGCUUAACACAUGCAAGUCGAACGGAAAGGCCCUGCUUUUGUGGGGUGCUCGAGUGGCGAACGGGUGAGUAACACGUGAGUAACCUGCCCUUGACUUUGGGAUAACUUCAGGAAACUGGGGCUAAUACCGGAUAGGAGCUCCUGCUGCAUGGUGGGGGUUGGAAAGUUUCGGCGGGUGGGGAUGGACUCGCGGCUUAUGAGCUUGUUGGUGGGGUAGUGGCUUACCAAGGCUUUGACGGGUAGCCGGCCUGAGAGGGUGACCGGCCACAUUGGGACUGAGAUAAGGCCCAGACUCCUACGGGAGGCAGAAGUGGGGAAUAUUGCACAAUGGGCGGAAGCCUGAUGCAGCAACGCCGCGUGCGGGAUGACGGCCUUCGGGUUGUAAACCGCUUUCGCCUGUGACGAAGCGUGAGUGACGGUAAUGGGUAAAGAAGCACCGGCUAACUACGUG
rnacentral:rRNA from 1 species